rnacentral:pre_miRNA from 1 species
CCUGUAACAAUAUCCUGAUGCUGCCUGAGUGUGCAUCUGCUACUCCAGCAUCAGUGAUUUUGUUGCCGG